rnacentral:rRNA from 1 species
AGAGUUUGAUCCUGGCUCAGGACGAACGCUGGCGGCGUGCUUAACACAUGCAAGUCGAACGGUGAACCCCAGCUUGCUGGGGGGAUCAGUGGCGAACGGGUGAGUAACACGUGAGUAACCUGCCCCAGACUCUGGGAUAAGCCUUGGAAACGGGGUCUAAUACCGGAUAAGCGGCACCACCGCAUGGUGAGUGCCUGGAAAGUUUUUCGGUCUGGGAUGGACUCGCGGCCUAUCAGCUUGUUGGUGAGGUAAUGGCUCACCAAGGCGACGACGGGUAGCCGGCCUGAGAGGGCGACCGGCCACACUGGAACUGAGACACGGUCCAGACUCCUACGGGAGGCAGCAGUGGGGAAUAUUGCACAAUGGGCGCAAGCCUGAUGCAGCGACGCCGCGUGGGGGAUGAAGGCCUUCGGGUUGUAAACCCCUUUCAGCAGGGAAGAAGCGAGAGUGACGGUACCUGCAGAAGAAGCGCCGGCUAACUACGUGCCAGCAGCCGCGGUAAUACGUAGGGCGCAAGCGUUGUCCGGAAUUAUUGGGCGUAAAGAGCUCGUAGGCGGUUUGUCGCGUCUGCUGUGAAAUCCCGAGGCUCAACCUCGGGCCUGCAGUGGGUACGGGCAGACUAGAGUGUGGUAGGGGAGACUGGAAUUCCUGGUGUAGCGGUGGAAUGCGCAGAUAUCAGGAGGAACACCGAUGGCGAAGGCAGGUCUCUGGGCCACAACUGACGCUGAGGAGCGAAAGCGUGGGGAGCGAACAGGAUUAGAUACCCUGGUAGUCCACGCCGUAAACGGUGGGCACUAGAUGUGGGGCUCUUUCCAUGAGUUCCGCGUCGCAGCUAACGCAUUAAGUGCCCCGCCUGGGGAGUACGGCCGCAAGGCUAAAACUCAAAGGAAUUGACGGGGGCCCGCACAAGCGGCGGAGCAUGCGGAUUAAUUCGAUGCAACGCGAAGAACCUUACCAAGGCUUGACAUAUACCCUCUAUCCCCAGAGAUGGGGAGUGCUUCGGCGGGGUAUACAGGUGGUGCAU